rnacentral:lncRNA from 1 species
CUGGAAACAAGUAACAGAUGACUCAUUCCUUCGUUGCCUUGAGCCAAUCAUCUGGGGCCACAACUGGACUCCUCCUCUGGUUUGUUGUCCAGACAUAGCAGCUGACCAACAUUCCUUCCUGAUAACAGACCAUCAACCUGGGAGUGGUUCUGGCCAGUCUAUGGAGGAUGCGCAAAAACACCUAAGUAAAACCAUUCUUGAAAGGACACAUGAACAAAUUGAACCAGUCAGAGGGGAAAGAUCAGGAUGAUGAAGUGACUCAGAAAUCAGGUAAUAUUAAAAACAGUUGGAAGAAACAAGGAGAAAGUAGACUCAAAGAACAAAAUAGUGGUUUACUUUAAAUAUUUGAUAUUCUGUUUUAUGGAACUAUGUUUCCCUAUAUGUCUAAAAUAGGCAGAAUUGGGACCAUUGGUAUAAAGCACACUGUAUUUUUAUAAUAUUUGUACAAAUUUAUGUUCUGCACAAGCUUCCUUUUGUAUAUGUACUAAUUUGUGAUGUAUUUGUACAGUGUUUGGCCUCAAUACAAGAAA